GGAGCGGUAGUUCAGUUGGUUAGAAUACCGGCCUGUCACGCCGGGGGUCGCGGGUUCGAGCCCCGUCCGCUCCG
rfam:Castellaniella defragrans 65Phen complete genome